CUGAAGUUAGUUGUAGAGGUUUGCCCUUUAGCUUGUAGCUACUGGAUAUAUGUGCUGGGUACUUUCACUUACAUUUCUGGUACCACUCACUGCCAUACAUUAAAAUACAGAAAAUGCUCUUGGUCAAAACUGAAGUCUGUCUUUUUUGGAUGGUAUUAUGUUAUACCUCUUUUGCUUCAAUGGGUAACAAACAUUGCCAUGACUCCUGUAACACAUCCAACCUCCAGGCUCCACUAGGCUCUGCGGUGCUCCUGUCAUGCAGCUUAGGGUCAACCUCUCUGGGCAUUAGCCCUGGCCAUGGCUGGGUGAUGUGGAACCAGGGCUCUGGUUCUGGUGCCAGCCUGGUCAACAUCACGUUCUCUGGGAAGGUGGACUUUCUGGACCCCAGGCAGGGAAGAGUGAAGGCUUUCCCCAAUCAGGGAGGUCUGGGGAACUUCUCCAUCCUAAUCGAUGCCCUUCAGGCCUCAGACCUGGGCUCCUACUGCUGUGCGCUGCAGAAUCAUGACCAGUGCCAUCGAGUGGAAGUUGAGGAACUUGAACAAGGCCUGAUUGGUGAAGUGCUGCAGAGAUGGUUGUCCUUCUGGAAGAUUCUCCCAUCUCCACAGAAGAACUCUGGCCACCUCCCUGACCAAGGCCCUUCUCCCACGAUUGCUCAGUUUGGCCAGGCAGCCAGCUCUAGGAAGAGUCUUGGUGGUUCCAAACUUCUUCCAUUUAAGAAUGAUGGAGGCCACUGUGUUCUUUGGGGCCUUCAAUGCUACAGAAAUGUUUUGGUACCCUUCACCAGAUCUGUGCCUGGACACAAUCCUGUCUCGGAGCCCUACGGACAAUACCUUCGACCUCAUGGCUUGGUUUUUGCUCUGACAUGCACUCUCAACUGUGGGACCUUGUAUAGACAGGUUCACACAUCGUGUUGUUUUUCAGCGUCGGCAGUUUGGCCAUCCUCCUAGUGCUCCUAAGUGGCUGUUUCUGCUGGGUGAAAUGGACACGAGUUUCUACUGAAAGAACACCAGACUAUAUCAACACCCAUUUCUGUGCAGGAUCCAGUGCACCUCCUGAGGACGUCGCAUGUAGUGACAAUGUCGGGAGAGACGUGGCACAGGAGAGAGGAGUCGGCAAUGAGCGACUGAUCUAUGAAAACAAUGAGCACGAUCCGACCAGAAUGCAGCACGAUCCGACCAGAAUGCAGCACGAUCCGACCAGAAUGCAGCACGAUCCGACCAGAAUGCAGCACGAUCUGACCAGAAUGCAGCACGAUCUGUCCAGAAUUCACCAUGAUCCGUCCAGAAUUCACCAUGAUCCAACCAGAAUUCAACAUGAAGCACAAAGAAACCAGCACAAACCAGCUAGAUACAAAAAUAAAUUGAGAGAUUCGAGUGAGAAAAGAAGACAGGGGUUUCAUGGAGAACUCAUGAGCAGAUUGCGCCAAUCAAGUCUCGGACAGCGUUACUACGGUAAAGUCAGAACUUUGUAAUGAUCAAUUUACAGUAUAGGCUUGCAGUGAUACUUUAUGAACUCUGACAGCAAACCAAGCCGAGAUCAACCAGCAAGCCAGAGUUCAGAUGGACAACCACCAAAGAGCAAACGAAGCAAAGACCAACCAGGAGGGCAGAUCCCAAAUGGACAACUGCCAAAGAGGAAGCUUUUGGAGAAAGAAACCCAAAGAGCAAUGUGAAUAUGAAAACCCUAUCUAUAACAGUGCAGUCCAACUCAAACUGUAGACGAGGAUGAAGAGGAUACUGGGUCUAAACUCCUUGGUCUCACUUUUGUUUGGGUUGUAUUUUAUUUUUUUGUUGUAAAUAAAGUACAUUACAUUGUCUUGAAAGUGAAACAAAUAUGAAAUAAAGUUAAAUCAUUUUUAAA
rnacentral:lncRNA from 1 species